CCACCUUUCCCGGCCUUUUAGGCUAAAAUCCAGUGGGGUAUCUCUUCUUAGCAGUUUAAUAUCUGAUAAAUGAGCACACAACCCACACGAUAUUAGCUCAAUUUUUUUUUCCCUAAAGUGAGCCCACCACGGUAGCUUGCUGUCAGGGCUCAAUCGUCUUACUUGGCAUUGCACUACUUCCUAGGCCUGGAUGGAACACC